rnacentral:lncRNA from 1 species
CCCCAUUUGAGCCAUGGAUUUCAUGCUUAGCUCUGACCCCUCCAUUACCUCAGCCACCAGAGGGUGCCACAGCUCGGGGCCAGGCCGUGGUGACAGCCUGGUCCCCUGCAUGCAGGUGGUCUCCCUCCUCCCAUCCUUCCUCCAAAGCAGCGAAGUAUCACUCGGUCCUCUUGAGAGACGGAUGCCCCCAUGGUCCUGGUUGGCAUCGCACUGAAAAUACACUGAGAUCUGAAAUGAGAUGGGGGGGGAAAAAAACAACCAGCAACAAACCAACUGCUUGGUUCCAGGCUGACCGAAAAUGUUCGCUUUAAUUGGGGCUCUUUAAUUCCUUUUAGAAACGGUGGAGAGAAAUUUGGAGGCUGGUGCACUGUUCCACAGCAGAAGUUGAAAACGUUCGCCUUUGAUACACAUCAAACCAACGCCUUAACGUUCCCAGGGAUCCCCACUUGCUCAUUACUAAGAACCCAAUGAAAUCAAGUGAAGGAAGAGAAUAGCCACAGCCCUUUGCUGGUCUUGCAUGCAAGCAGAAGCUGCUUGUAAGAGCUAAACAGCAAGCAUAAAUGGAGCCCCAAAGCAGUUCCUGCAGCCUGGGAGUUGGACAACUGCACUGAGCCAAAUGGGAAUGGAGUCAGCCCAUAUCAGGAGCUGCUGGGAAAGAGGUUAAAUCUGCACCCACGUCACCACGGCUCCUGCUGGCAGCUUUGCUGGGUCUGGUGGAGCGUCCCAUGCCCAUCCUCGGACCAUCAGCCUCAUUCCUCCAGCACCAGCAGGACUUGCUCCCACUCGCACCCACUGGCUGACCUCUGUCUCAGCAUCUUGCAC